ACUGUUUUAAAUAUCUAAACUAUAUUUUUCAUUAACAGAUUUACUGUUUAAGUGAUUUUGUUUUUUCUGUAAAUUAUUGAAAGUAGCUUGGUAUUGCCACAUUUGAACAGUUGGUGGCUCCAAUGCUUUGCAAGUAUCCUAGAAGUCUGAUGGUUAAACAAAAGAACUUUUUUGGGGGGUACAUUAAAUCAUAAAGAAAAUCUCAUUUCGAAGAAUGCAUUAGGAUAUUGUUAACAAUUAAACAUUAAUUUAGAGUUAAAAUUUCAAAAUAAACUUGUUUUAUACAUGAAUGUGUAUAGACUGUUUAUAAAUAGUAUUCACAAAUUAAUUUUAAUAUAAAAACAAACUACAAGGUGCCUUUACUUUAUAGAAAAGAUGAAUUAUAGUAAAAAUGUUUCUAAAUUUCUGUAAAUUCUGUUAAAAUCUUUUAUUGUUGAAUUUUCUUGAAAGGUCUCCUAAGAUACUUGGCAAGAAUGGAAAGAGCAUCAGAUUUAGACUGAGAGAGACGGGUUCAGUGCUUGACUCUACUACUAAUGUGACUUUGAGGAAAAUGCUUCACCUCUGUAGCUUUGCUCAUGUAUAAAUUGAGGGACUCAGACUAGAAGAGAUCUGAUGCUCCUUUUUGUAAUUUUAGAAUUGUUUCUCAAGUACCUUUUAAAGUUUAGGAUUUUUUUCCUUUUUGAAAUUUUCUCUGCAAUCACUGCCUGGUGCCUUUUAGGCUGCCCAUAGACAUUUCUUCCAGGCUUGGGUCUUCUCUAAAUUCUCUCUGAAGACUCCUAAAUUUUAGCUUUCCUUCUCCUUUUAUCUGGUAUCUACAAAAUAUGGUAGAACAAAGUUAUAGGAUCAUACAUUGCCAGUUUGGCUUCUUUUGCACAAUAAAUGUCAGACCUUAAAAUCUAUAAACUGAAUUCAUAGCAAUUCAGUAAGUUUAAAUAUUUAAAAAUCAAACAUUUUAUUAUGAAUUUAAUAAAACUAACGAAACUUAUUUAUGACUUUAAACAUAGUGAUUAUAACUUAUUUUAGAUUUUAUAACCUUAAGCAGAUAGAAAUACUAUAAAUUUCUUUUGAUACGUGGUAUUCCCUCGGCAUGAAUUCUGAUUGUAAUGAUAAGGUUUAAUGUGUCCGGUUUUAACACCAUGACACAUAUCUUAUUAGGAAUAUGAUGAGAAUUGCAAACUAGAGCAACAGUUUUGGAGAAGAAAAUAAAAUAGGAAUUGUGUCUAUAUCAUGCCAUUUCUAGUUGACUAAUUCUCUAAAAAAAAAAAGUGGUUUGAGGUGGUUUCUCUUCUACUUAUUUUCCAGUAGUAAGUAAGAUUUUAAAAAAUAUUAUGCUUCUUAUGUGCUGGCAUCUUUAAGAUGUGGAAGCUUUAGUGUUUUUCCAAUGGGUAAGUCUGUCACUGUGAAUAGAGCACUAGGCUUGGAAUCAAGAAAACUUAUCUCCCUGAGUUCAAAUCUGGCUUCAGACAUUGACUAGCUAUGAGACCCUGGUCAAGUCAUUUAAUGUUAUUUGCCUUGGUUUCCUCAUCUGUGAAAUGAGCUGAAGAAGAAAAUGGAGGACCACUACAGUAUCUUUGCUUAGAAAAUUCCUAAUGAAGCCAUGAAGAAUCAAACAAGAGUAAAAAACAACUGAACAGUAACAAAGUCUUGGUAAUCCUUUCUGUUCUCUGUAUUAAUGCCAUGUGGGAGGAAGUGAUGGUAGGAUGAGGGAGGAACUGUCCAGCAGAACCAAUGAUGGACCAUUGUAACAGAUCUACCAAGAAGUGAACCUGCUGGUAUCUCUCUCUGAUUGUGCUGAAGGGUAGGAGGCAUUUUGGUGGUGCAAACACUGAUCCUGGAGUCAAGAAGACCUGAGUUCAAGUACAGCCUCAGAAACACUGACUUGCUAGGUAAUGGAGGAAUUGAAGAAUUUGAGAGUUGCAAGAGACUUCCGCAGGUAUGUAGUCCAACCCAUAAAGAAAGGAUUCCCCAAUAUAAUCUAUUUUCAACAAGUGAUUGUCCAACUUCUAGUUGAAGACCUCCAAGGAGAGAGAACAGAACACUUUUGGGAAAAAAGCCAUUCCACGUUUGGAUAGCUCUAAUUGUUAGGGAGUUUUUCCUGAUGCCAAACCUAAAUUGAUCUCUUUGUAACUGACACUCAUUGCUCCUAGUUUUGUAAUCUGAGACCAAGGAGAACAAUUCCUUCUUUCACGUUAACGGCCCUUGGAAAAUUCAUUUUUUUUCCACCACCCUCAUUUUCUUCAGUGAAUUGAUCCUCCAGUGUUAUGAACCCGAGGCUCAUUACUAUCCUGAUUGCACCACUCUGGAUAUUUUCCAGCUUACCACUGUCUAUCUUCAAAGUCAGGUGGCAAGAAUUGAACAUAGUAUUCCAUAGUGUUUCAAAAUACAUGACAAUUUUCAGGAUAUCUCAGAAAAGAGAAGAUUUCAUAGAAUGAGAAUUGUCUUGGAUAUUUUUUUUUAAUCAGUGACCAGGAAUAAAUCAACCACUGCCAAAUAAGAUGCUUACUUUUCUAUUUCUCUAAUUUUUUAUGAGAAUUGUUUCCCAUUUGAAGGUAUCCUUGUGUCUUAAUUCUUUUGGCCUUUAACUUAUCCUGAGUAGAUUAGUAGUUCCUUCUUAAUGAAGUUGUAUCUAAGUUUUUCCCAACAAAGAAAGACAGUUAGUGGGAAUCAGUGGCUUGUGAGGAUUAUUUUUAGUGACAUCUUCAGUUUCAAAACUGACCAAGGGGUGGAAGCAAAUGUAAGAUCCUUAUUGUUUGUUAAUUACCCCCCUAAGAAACUAAAGUUCAGUUUUAAAAGGUUCAACAACAAAAUAUUUUCCAUGUACAAAUUUUACUAUCAAACAAGAAGUCUUAAUAAAUUCAACCACUAUCAAUUCAAUUCAACAAAUAUCUAUUAAAUAUCCUACAAGUAUCUUAUAGGCACUGAGGUUUUACUUGAAGUGACUGUUGUAAGAAUGUGAAUAUUAUGGAACCAUAAGAAUUUCAAGUGUGUCUUCUAAAUUAGAAGAAUAUAUGGGAAGCCCUAAUUUUACAAUUUUCUAGUUGAUCUCCCAGAGCCUCUUCAUAAUUUAUUCAUAUUUUUGCUAUUCUAUAAUUUUUACAGCCUAAUUACACUCAACAGGGGUUUGUAUUUUAUGCACUUCACUGAGGUAAUUCCAAAACCAGAUUAAUCAUAAAUCCUGACAGACUUGGACCAAGAGUAUGGUAAAAAAUAAGGGCUGACCUGUUUGGCAGCUGUUGUACAGACUAAAGAAUAAGAGAAAACUUCGAUCAAGAUCAUGGUUAAUAUACCAGGAAGCACCCACCACUAGGUAUUUUGUAAUAGAAUCAAAUGGUUAAUGACUUCCUUUUUAUGGAGGGUGCUUGGAAUUACAGUUCAUCCAUUAGUCCUUAAGAAUUCAGAAACUUAUAUAAUAAAAUAAAAAUUGAUGCCUCAGGUCCUUAAUAGUUGUCAUUUUCUUUUACAGUUUGAAUAAAUACAUUUCAUAGUUUCAUUUUUAUAGAAAGCAUUCUAUUUCUAUUUUAUGUAUAUAAUUAUUGGAUCUGAACUUAGUGGAAUCUCUUUUCACACUGUUAAUUUAGCCUGGGAGAAUGGUUUGUAUUAAAACUUCAGAAGAGUUAUGUUUAUUAGCAAUGAUCAUUAAGGAAUAUCUAGAUCAAUAGUAUCUAACACAUAUAGAAACUGGGGAGUGGGAAGAUUAAACCUAAACUAAAGAUUUCUGUAGGCUGUUUAUUAUUUUAGAAAACCAUAUUAACAUUAGCUAUAUUCUUUUCUACUUUAAUUAAAUAUUUUUCAUUGACAUUUUAAUCUAGUACCCAAGGGCCCUGUAUAAGACACUGCUAAUGUAAAUGAAAAAGAUAAAAUAACUAGAAUUAAGAGAUUAGAUUUGAGAAGCAGAAAUGAGAAUGGUGUGAGUCUAGUAGUAGUUCUAGUAUGAUGAUAAGAGGAAGUACCAUAAUUAGCUUCAACUGAAUAGGUUAUGUCUGUUUUGGGGCAUUUUUUCUUCCUCACUAUGGCUAGCAUCUCCAUACCUCAACUUGCCUAGUUUUUUGUUUUUGUUUUUGCUAUCUUGGACAACCAUGAUCUCUUGUGUUAGACUCUCAGGAACUUAUUGCCAUAGUGCCUACUCUCUCCAGGCCUACCAAUCCCUCUGGCACCCUGCUUCCCCUUCCACUCAUGUGGGGUAUAGCCCACCCAUGGUGAGUCACUGACACUAGCACUGUGGCCCAACUUCUACCAACUGACUUUGUUCCUUGUCAAAAACUUCUUAGUUAUGGCUUCAUUAUGAAGAAACUACUGACCUACUCAGGGCAAGAAAAAGGCCAAAAGAAAUCUUUAAUCAAGGCUAUGAUGAAUUCAUCUAAGAACUAAGAUCAUUUACUAUCCAUACAAGCAUUUGGUGAUAAAAUCAAAUGUUAAAGGUCCUUUUUUGAUGAGAAGUACUGGAGUGAUAGUCUACUCAUCCUGAUACUUUAAAAGAGUCUAGGUUUGGGGUCUGCAUGUUUAAUGAGCCUUUCUUCUCCUUGCAUUUUGAAUGAACUGAUUCCAAAGUCUCAUUUUUAUAGAAAACUUCCUAUUCACAUUUGCUAUAUAAUGUUGUGUUAAACUAAGUUGAUUUUGUUGUAUCUUUCAAGGGUUCUUCAAUAAUUUUAAGAUAUGGAUGGUAAAUACUUUGUUAGGAGAGAGGCUUUAAGGUGGCAUUUGACUUUAUAUUGAAUCAAAAACUUUUUAUAGCCAACAAAAAAUAAGCAUAAUGGGAUACUGUAUGCUUAAUGUUUUUCAGUGAUUUGUGUGAUGAUAAGGAUGUGGACUGCUGUGUAAUAUUAAUUAUCAAAAAGCCUGUCUAUUCCUUAGUAAUUCUGUAAUCAAGCAUGCUUUGGAUUUGUGCUUCUUAUUCUCAUAAAUAUUUUAUAUAUAGAUGAGAAAGUUGACAGAUUAGUAGCUGAUGUAAUAAAUGAGAUACUCUGCUUGACUAGAGAGAUAGAGAGGUGCAAAUUGUAUUAAAAAUGUAUACUUGAUGGGAUAGUUGUAAUAAAUGGAUGUACUUGGAGAUCGAUACUAGGGGAAACCUGAAGGUGCCUAGUUCUAAUGGAGAGAGAGAUAUACUAGAGGAGGGUAUCUGUCAGUUCCCUAGAUGACAAAUUGAUUAAUAUUUUUCCUACCCUCCUCCUCCUUCAAUACCUCCCUUCACCUCCCACUUCUGAAGCCUUUAGCUUCACCCCUUCCCCCUCCUUCCCAAAGUGGACUAUGAGUUUUAGAGAAAAUACUCUCUCUCUUUCUCAAGUAAGGGGGUUUAUUGGGAAAAACAGGACAAGGAUGGAAGAUGAGGCAAGAGGGAUGGGGGUUUCCCUAGUCUAUAAUGAGGGUUAAGAGGUUUUGGGGAAAUGUUAGUUCUAUCACAGCUGUGACAAAAAAGUCUGACAGGGAGACUUCCUUCAAACUCAAGUCUCAGAGACACCAAUAUCUUCUUAACCACACUCGGCCACAAGCUAAAAGUUAAUUCACAAAUUUCUCUCUCCGCUCCAAAACCACACCUGUCCCUCAGCCUAGGACAGAAGCUAACAUAGGGGUCCUGUUCAGAGCUUCUUCCUGUUCAGCCUGGCUCAAAAGCCACCAGGGUCUCUCAGCCUCAGGUCAGAAGCUAAGAGGGGUCUAAUCACAAGCCUCUCUGCCUAGCCCCAAAAGAAAUCUCCUUUCCUCCUCUCUAAUAAGCCAAGAGAGUGAGUUCAGUUCCACUGUGAGGUUAGCUUCCAACUGCCUCUUCCUGGGAACAUUCCAAAGGGAAUGUUCCUUUUUUGAUAUGAUGUCCUUUUGCUUUGUGUUACAUGCUUGGCUUGCCCUGUAGAUUCUCUCUUUUACACUGAUGAUAAUCUCCGGUUGACUUGGAGGGCAUUAAUAGAGUUCAAGAUUUUCCCUCUAUUUUUAGUAUAUUUUCCUUCAGAUAUUUAAGAAUUAAUCUCUCCAUCCCUCCAUAACAGAUUUCCUAAUUCCAUGACUCAAUUCUGUCCAUGAAGAUAACUGGUAAUUUUCCAGUAGUAUUUAGAGGAGUGCCACUUAAUCCCCUUGCAAGCACAUGGUUUAGAAGAUUUGAAAAAUAAACAAACUUGUUUACAGAUCAAAGGAAACAAAUAGAAUUUAUACUAGGGCUCAUAGGAAAUUAUGAGAACUAUCUAGGGACAACUCUUUACAUCAAGCAUCUCUAUUAUGUCAUGGUAAAUAUGCUGCAGUUAUAGGAACAAAAGUUUUCUAAUGCUUGUAUUUGGAAAAUAAAAAAUGUUGUCAACAGGGAUCCUAGGUUCUAUCUAUGACUUAUAUUGAUAUGCUAUUUACUCCAUUGUACAAAAGCAGGAACCGUCUUAGAUGGGCUCUAUCCUUGGAAAAAAUUUAUUAGACAUACAAAAUUAAAAUGUACAUUGGGGACUUGGGAGAAAUUUUACCUCCAAAUAAAGAUGCCAGUCUCUCUUUCCCUAAUUCAUAUGCUAUAGAAUAAAAAUCUUUGCCUAAGGAAUUUUAUCUCCAAUUUAAAAAAUUGGCAAAAUAUACACAUGAUAAAACACUUAUAAAGAAAGGAAAUAUAGAAAUAAAAAUCUUAUAAAACUUGUAAAGAAAGGAAAUAUAAAUAUAAAAAAACUUAUAAAGAAAGGAAAUAUAAAAAUCAUUACUAUUUUCUAGUACCCCAUUUGAGUUAGGUCUAAAAUAGAUGGAAUUUUACAAAAUAAAAAUGCAAUAAAACAUUGAUAUUAUAUUUUAAAAUUAAGUCUCAUGUGGUUGACAGGGAUCCUUAUCUAUGGAUUAGUGUCUCAUUCUUCCAUAUGAUUUGACACCAUUGUAAAUCUAAGGGAACCUUUGUGCCAGUUGGAAGUAUAUUAUUUGAACUUUCCCCAUUUUUCAUUAAGCAUUCCACCAACUUCAGGGAUUUAACAGUAUGACUGGUGUCUAACCAAAUGGGGGUGCUCUUUCCCUCUAGAAAGGACAAUAAUAGUCCUGUUAAGGAGAACUAAGCCUCCCCUCAGACUUCAUCAUUCUCCCUUGUAGAGGGGAAUGGCACCCCGACUUGGCUAGUUACCAGACUCAACUCACUCCUAUUUUCCCAAGAAGGCAACAGAAGACAUACAAACAGAGAAGUAAGAAGUAAAUUCUAACUAUAGAAAUUCAGUCUUAAAUUGGGAAACUAUUUAGUGUUAGGGAAGCACAGGAUUUUUUUUUAAACCUUUAACUUCCAUCUUAGAAUAAAUUCUAAGUAUUAGUUCCAAGGAAGAAGAGUGCUAAGGCCUAGGAAAUGGGGGUUAAGUGACUUGACCAGGGUCACACAGGAAAUGUCUGAGGCCAAAUUAGAACCUGUCAUUUCUGGUUUGGCUCUCAAACCUAGCUGUUCCCCAACCCCACUCCCGGUAUUAGAUUCUAAACCUAUAAAUCUUGGACAAGCCACUUAGACUAUAUGAGCCUCCAGCCCUAUUCCUGGGUGGAAUAUAUUCAGAAAUUAAUUACAUCUUAUUUUAGUUGCUUUAACUUUUUUAGGUUCAUGGAACUUUUUUAAAGCAGAUAUAUAAAAAUGCUACACACAACACUUCUAAGUACAGAUUUUUAGGGGUAAUCUUGGGUUCUAGUCCAAUCUCAUUUUGCAUAAAAAGAAACUUGGAAUUAUAUAGGUUAAGUGACUUCCCAAACUCACACAGGUAGACAGUAGCAAGAGGUAGAAUUUUUACUCUAAAACCAUUAUUCUUCAUAAUACACAGGGGAAGUUUUUUCCUCAUGUUUCCUUGUUAUUUACUCUUACUUUUAAAUCUGUAGCUUAAAAGUAGGACCUUUGCGUCUUCAGUAUUCUUAGUUAAUGUACGGGAGAAGUUUUUUUUUUUCCCCAUCUAUACCCUAUAUACCCUACUAGCACACUGAACACCCAGUUUUGCUAUCUUGGAGCUGCCCGUCUUUCAUUUAGGGCCAUCAGUUAUUUACUGUUUGUCUUUUAAAUUAAUUUUUGGAGGUAUUUUAUUCUGUACCUUUUCACUUUUUCACCCCUUAACUGCUACUGUACUUUACUUUUUUUUUUAGCCAUAUAUAUGCUAGGAAAUGCUUUUCAUCCAUGUUUUUAUGUGUAUGUGUAUAUUGUAUAAGUAUUUCAACAUAAAACUCAAAACAAACCAAAUAUUCUUGAUUUGAUUCAUUUGUGCAGCUUCUUAAAUGUAAGUAUAGAAAAUAUGGACUUUAUUUGGCCACUAACUGGAAAAUAUUUUGGAUUUGAGCAGGAGAGACAUAGCCAGGUUCAUACAUAGGGAAGAUUAAUCUGGCUGUGGAGUAAAGGAGAGAUUGGGAGGAAGGAUAGGACGAAGAGGUAGGAAGAUCUACCUGUUAGGAUGAUAUUGCCAUAGUACAGAUUAGGUGGUAAAAGUGGUAGUAUCAUUGACAGAAAUAGUGCAGUUAAAAUUUGGAAAAGUAUAGCAUGAAAAAUAUAACAUGUCUUCCUCCUUUGCCUGCUCAGAAGCAGCUAGGUGACACAGUGGACAGAUGGAUUGGCCUGGGGUCAGGAAACCCAAGUUCAGGUAAUCUGGUUUUAGCGAGAUUAUUAUCUGUGUGACCGAGGCAAGUCAUUUAAACUCUGCCUGCCUCCAUUUCUUCAUUUGAAAUGGAGGAAAUAAUAGCACUUAUCCUCCCCACUCCAAAGCACUUCACCCAAAUAAAGCCAGACCUAAACAAUUAGAACGUUGGUUGUUCAUGGAUAGACUGAGCCAAUAUAAAAAAAAUGACACUCCUAUCUAAAUUAAUUUACCUAUUGAGUGCUAUGCCAAUCAGACUAGCCAAAAUAUUUUAUAAAGUUAUAAAAAAUAACAAAAUUCAUCAGGAAGAGCAAGGCCAAGAAUACAGAAGAAAUUAAUGGAAAAAAUAUGAAAUAAGGAAGCCCAGCCAUACAGAUCUCGAACUAUUCUGUAAAGUAAUCAUCAAAAACAAUCUGGUACUGGCUAAGAAAUAGAGUAGAGGAUCAGUGGAAUAGUUUGGGUAAUAAACAGAAUUUAAUGAUCAUAGUAAUCUAGGGUUAAAUAAAACCAAAGAUCCAAGCUUUUUAGGGAAGAAUUCUCUAUUUGACAAAAACUGUUGGGUAAACUGGAAAGCAGGAAGAUAGAAACUAGGCACAAACGAACAUCUCAGAACAUAUACCAAGAUAAAGUCAAAAUGGAUAGUUGAUCUAGAAAUAAAGCGUGACACCAAAAACAAAUUAGGGGAACAUGGAAAAGUUUACCUGUCAGACAAAGGGAUGAGAAGAAUUUUUAUAGCCAAAUAAGACAAAGCACACUAUGAAAAAUGAAAUGAAUAAUUUUGAUUACAUUAAAUUUUAAAGGUUUUACACAAGCAAAACUAAUGCAACCAAGAUUAGAAGGUAAGUAACAAACUGGGGGGGGGGGGGAUUAUAGUAAGUAUCCCCAACAAAAGCCUCAUUUCUCAGAUAUAUAGAGAACUGAGUCCAAUUUAUAAGAAUACAGAGCAUCCUCAAAUUGAUACCUGGUCAAAGGAUAACAGUUUUUAAAGUAAGAAAUUAAAACUAUCCAUAGGCAUGAAAAAAUGCUCCAAAUAAUUAUUAAUUAGAGAAAUGCAAAUUAAAUCAACUCUGAAAUACCACCUCAUACCUAUCAGAUGGCUAAUGUGACCAAAAAGGAAAAGGAAAAAUGUUGGUGGGCAUGCAGAAAAUUAGAACAUUAAUAUACUGUUGGUGGAACUGUGAACUGUUACAACCCUUUUUGGAGCAAUAUUCCCAAAGAACCAAAAAACUGCAUACAUUUUGACAACCUUAUAUACUACUGGGUCUAUAUGCCCAAAGAGAUUUUUAGCAGCUUUUUUUGUAGCAGCAAAGAAUUGGAAACUGAAGGUAUGUCUAUCAAUUAGAGAAUGGCUGAGCAAGUUAUGGUAUAUGUUUGUAAUUGAAUACUAUUAUGCUAUAAGAAAUUAAAAACAUGAUGAGUCAGUAAAACUGGAAAGACUAAUAUGAACUGAUGGCAAGUGAAAUGAACAGAACCAGGAGAAGCCUGUAUACAGUAAUCGAAAUAUUCUAUAAUGAUCAUCUUUGAAAGUCUAAACUUAUCAGCCAAACAAGUUUCCAAAAUAUCCACAAGGGAUUCAUAAUGAAAAUUCUAUCCACAGCCAGAGAUUGAAUUGUGGGACUCUGUGGAUCAAAAUAUGCCAUUUCCCACUUAAUUUCCUUCAUGAACUUUUUUUUUACUAUAUGUAUGAUAUGUGUCUUCUAUCAUGAUAGCAAUAUGGAAAUAUAUAUUGCAUGCAACUCCUGGUAUAACCUAUAUCAGACUAUUUAUAACAUAAGAGAAUUUGGGGGAUGGAGGUAAGGAGAGAAUCUGAAACAUGACAAAACAAUUGUCAAAAAUAGGAAAACAAAUUUAAAAAAACUAUUAGAAAACCUCAAAAAAUCCAACACAUGAGCUGGGGCCUUAUCUUAGAAACACAUUAUAAACACUGCCUGAUUGUGCUGAGAUAUAGGAAUACCACUCCAGGGAACUCAGGAGAAAGGCUGGAGAAAGGGAAAAAAAUUACUGCCAUAGAAAGAAGUGAUGGAGUCUGAAUGCAGAUUAAAGCAUAUCAUUCUUCACUUUAUUUCCUUCAUGAAUUUUUCUCUAGUGUAAAAGAUAUGUCUUCUUUCACAAUAUGAUAAAUAUAGAAAUAUGUAUUGCAUGAUAACAUAUCUUAGGAAGGAUGGGAGGGAGAGAAUGCAUUGCAAAACAUCAGAAAAUAAUUACUAAAAACUAUGGACGUGUAAUUGUAUCAAAUGUAAUAUGGAGGCAAAGGAGAAUGGGAAGAGAAAAAGGACCAUUAGAUUUUUUAAAAAAUAUUUUUUUUGUUUUCCAAAUUAUAUGUAGUAAUAAUUUUCAACAUACAUUUUCCAAAGUUAUAUGAUUCAAAUUAUCUCCCUCUCUCCCUUCCAUCCCACCUCCUGGAGAUGGUGAGCAAUUUGAUCUGUGUUAUACAUGUAUUAUCAUGCAAAACAUUUUCAUAUGGGCCAUUGUUAUAAGAGAUUAUUCCUAUAAAACCAAAACCCCAAAAUAAAAGAUCAUGCUUUGAUCUGUAUUCCAACAGUUCUUUCUCUGGAAAUGGAUAACAUUAUUUGUCCUGGAUCAUUGUUUUGCUGGGAAUAUCUCUCACAGUUUAUCAUCUUAUAAUAUUGCUAUUACCAUGUACAAUAUACUCUUUAUUUUUUAAUGUAUUUUUUUUAAACCUACCAUCUUGGAGUCAAUACUGUGUAUUGGCUCUAAGGCAGAAGAAUGGUAAGGAUUGGGCAAUGGGGGUUAAGUGACUUGCCCAUGGUCACACAGCUAGGAAGUGUCUUAGGCUAGAUUUGAACCUAGGACCUCCCGUCUCUAGGUCUGGCUCUCCAUCCACUGAGCCACCCAGCUGCCCCAGAAUAAUAUACUCUUGAUUCUGCUUAUUUCACUCUAUAUCUGUUCAUGUAGAUCUUUCCAGUUUUUUCUGAAAUCAUCCUGUUCAUCAUAUUUUAUAGCAUAUUAUUAUUUCUUCACCAUCAUAUAAAUAGGCUUUUUCAACAAUGCAUCCUUAAACCUAUUGGCUGGGGAUUAAGGAGGAAGUUAGUGGUAAAGAAAUGAGGGCAGUGAAUGCUUUAUUGGUUAAUAAAGUUUUACUUGGCAGUGGAGGGAAAGAAAUAGUUAAAAGGAGUAAAUGAGUUAUCUAAGUAGAGGAGACUUAUGAACAAUUUCCAUCCUGAGAGGAGAGAGAUAGUUAUGAAAACUUGAUGUAUUCUGAAUUGCUUCAUGGAUAGAGAAUUGUUCUUUUUCCUUUCUUGUGUAGUAUAAAUUUUGUCAUAGAGGUGUAGUUCAAGAAGGUAAUUCAGGAGUGGUCAAAUGGAAAGACUUCCAUUUUCCUGGGGCUGCAGAUCAAUUGUAAACAAUAAGGAGAAUUGGACUAAUUUUAAAUUAUAUUACAACUGCAUUUGUAAAGUAAUCUAUCUAGGGGUAGUUCUUACCAAGACUUAUCUACAAAUCUUAUAAAUAAAUAGCAAAGAUGACAAAAGCAAUCUUCAGAUGAAAAAAUUAAAGAUCAAUUAUGACAAUGGAACAUAAUGUGUAGAGCUUCUGGAAGUACUUCCUUUUCAUUAAUCAAGGAUAAUUAUCAAUUAUAAGGCUUAAUCAUUAGUAGAGUCUUUAUAUUUUGCAUCUUGAAAAGUUGAUGAUAAUUGGUCUCCAUAUUUAACUCCCAAGUACUCAUUACACUGAGGGAAAAGUGAAUAAGCUUUUUUUUUAGAGUUUUUUCUUUGUCUAUGACCUUGGAUGAUGACUCACUAAACAUUUCUUAAUCUCAGCCUCAAAAAUUGAGGUAUAUUUUGUUUACUUUUUUUGUUAGAAAGAAGUAAUAUAUUUUAGAUUUCACAAAAUCAGCAUUUUAAAGGUGGAAAGAACCAGAGUUGAUUUUUUUUUUUAGCCCAACCUCUCAUCUUGUAAGUGAGAAAAAUUAUAUUUGUGAAAUAGGGCAUCAUUUUAUUCUGUUCCCAUAAGAUAUCAUAGUUGUUACUUUCUUGAAAAAAUUCUUAAUGCUUAAUUUGAUUUCUUUUUAGUUACCUUUUCAAAAAGAGAAUGCAGCUACAAAUCAGUUUGAUGGCUUCCUUUCUGAAAAAUUAGCUCGAUUCAAAGGUUGAAGUAAUCAUUUCCAAUGUUAUCUUAUUGCCCUCAAUAAUAAUAUUAUGCUCCCUGAAUUUACAAUGUCUUUUGGUAUUUAUAUCAACAAUUAAAGCAUUAUUAAUUAUAUUGGGAAGAAGAAUGAUCUAACUACUAAUAAAAAAAAAGCAAACCUGAUCCAAGGUGUUCCUCUCUUUACCUCAUUUUUUAGAACUUCUUGAGGAAAUAUCACAUCAAAUUAAUGAAUCUUAGGAUUUUAUUGCCAAUGACCAUAAACAGGUAAUAUGUGUGUGUAUAUGUGGGGGAAGUGUUUGCCACUAAAGGCAAAAAUGGAACUUAAUACUUUUUGCUCUUUGUUGAUUUCUUGAUUCAACAUAUGUGACAUUUAACACCAUUGAACUUUUAAGGACUAGAAGAUCAAAUUUUUACUGUUUCUACUUUUUUCAAGUUAAAUCACAAUAGUUGAUUCACCCUUGUUAAAUUGACAAAAAUGGUUUAAAAGUUUUAAAAAUGCAGCUUUGAAUGGAUUUGGAGGAAACAAGAAUGCUAUUGCAUUGCUAAUGGAAUUGCAAGUUAUUCUUAUUGAGAUAGUUAUAAGUAUACAAUUUUAAAAGUCAGAAUUUUGGUAAAUAUGACAAUUGAUAUAAAUAAAAUUAUUUUAAGUUAAUUUAAGUAAGGGUAGGUUAUAAAGUAUUACAUAAUUUCUCCCUUUUAAGUAAUUACUCUAGAUUUUACUGAGAGCUCUGCUUUCUUUUUUUUUUCCAGAUUAUAUGUUGAUACAAUGUUCAAUAAUCAUUUUUUCUCUCCCUCCUUAUCCUUUUUACCUCCCCAGGAUGGCAAGUAAUAUGAUAUGGAUUGUACAUGUAUUGUCAUAUAACACAUAUUUCCAUGUUAAUCAUGUGAUGAAAGAAGACACCUAUUGCUUAAAUUAGAGAAAAAUUUGUGUUAGAAUCUGCUAUUAAGCUCCAUACAGUUGCUAAAAUGUCAUUUGGAAACUGUCAUCUUCUGGAAACUUUAUUUUGGAAUCUUUUAGGACAAUGGGAGAUAUUGGGUGAGUUUAUAUCCAAACCAAAGUUAAUGUUGAUAAACAGUGGAUGCUUGAAAAAAGUAAUCCUAGCGAUAAGUUUCUCAAAAAUGAACAAUAAUCACAACAAGAUCUCAUGCUCAAUUUUGUACUCAAGGAGUUUAUAGUGUGAUAGGCAAAGAUAAUACCCAAAUGAAGCUGAUAAGACAAAGGGUGUGCAAUGGGAAAGGCACAGGAUGGAUAAGUGCAGAGGUGUUUAAUGUCUAGCUUGGGUACUAUCCUUAAGUGAAAAAUUAGGGCUGAAUCUGUCUGCAUCUCCAUCAUCUCUCAUUAGAGUGACAGUUACCAUGGACAGAGGGCAAGAUAUCUUUGUGAAUUAACACAAAACUUAUUUGCUGUAUCAAAUUGCCUGCAGAAGCCAAAUCUUCUUAUGCCUUUUUCAAAGGAUAUCCGUGAUGCCUACAUAUAUUAUUCUUAUAAAGUGCUCAGUGAAAUCAGUAUUAAUCAGAAAAGUGGUUUUUCUAAUUAUUCACACUAGAUAAAAAUGCUGUUCAAGCAGGUGUCAUCAGAUUAUUCCAUGAAUGUAUAUUAUAUGUGAUAUAAAUAUAAAUACUUACGUAGAUAAUAUAGCUUCAACAAGUCCUGCAGAUGGAUAAUAAGUUAAUGUUAGAAUUGAAUAGUCGGCAAUCAGACUGGAGUUUUUCCUCACUAAUGCCAAUUUGCUUACCACUGUAAAAGAAAGUAUUUUUUAAUCAACCACUCAAUCUACAGGCAUUUAUUCAGGGUCUAUUAUGGACUAGGCACUGCACUAGGCAUUGGAGAUAUAAAUACAAAAGUGGUAUAGAUUCUGACCUCAUGAAACUUGUAUUCUGCUAGGCAAGAAAAUAGAGGAAAUAUACAAAACAAAUAAUAAGUGAUUGUUAAGGAGGCACUAAAAAAGGGUGAGUCUGAAAAGAUCUCUUCAAGGAGGUGGCACUUGAGCAAGUUUCUAAGAGGCGGAAGUUAAGGAGGAAGAACAUUCUAAGCUUAGAAAUAGUACUUCUAUGCAAAGGAUAUGGUAGGAGGGAGAAUGCUACUUAUGGAAAAGAGGGAGAAAGACAUUUGGCCGAAGCUUAGAGUGCCUACUGGGAGUAAUGUAUCAUUUUAAAAGAUUAAUUGGAACAAAUUGAGAAGUAUUUCAAAUGCUAAAAAGUAGAGUUUAUGUUUUGUCCUAGAAAUAAUAGGGAGCUAAUGUAGCUUAUUGUAUUUGAGGAUCAUAAAAUCUAGAGCUAGAAGUUAUUUUAAAGGCCAAGCCUUUCAUUUUAUAGGUAAGGAAACUGAGACCCAGAGAAGUCAAGUGACUUGCUUGUCCAUAUAGAUAGGAAGUAGCAUAGCCAGGAUUUGAACACAGGAUUCAUUUGAACUCAGCCCAUGACUCCAAAUUUGGUAAUCUUGAGACCUUUUUAUUACCAAUAUUUUCCUGGUGAUUCUUCAUGGCUAUUACUCUUGAAAUCUCAUUUAUCUCAGAAGAAUUAAAGCUUUGAAUAAUUCAAAGGGCAAAAUUAUGGACAUAAUAAGCAAUGACUUACAGGUCACCACUAAUUUAUCUGGAUUUAUUGAAGAUGUAUAUAGCUAGAAAAAUAGGUGAUGUCGUGAGGAUGAAAUAAUCUGAGUGAUAAAUUGUUGAACUGAAUGUACUGAUAAACAGGGGCAGCUAAGGUGGCACAGUGGAUAGAGUGCCAGGCUUGAAGUUAGGAAGACUCACAUUCCUGAGUUCAAAUAUGGCCUUAGACACUUACUAGCUGAGUGACUCUGAGCAAGUCACUUAACUUUAUUUGCUUCAGUUCCUCGUCUAUAAAAUGAGCUGGAAAAGGAAAUGGCACACUACUCCAGUAUCUUUGCCAAGAAAACCAAAAAGAGUUGGACACAACUGAAAAAUGAGUGAACAACAAUGAUAACAACAUAUAUACUAAAAAUAAAAACAAAACAGCAGAGUAAGGACUCCAGCAUGUUGUAUGUAUUCUCUAUUGUGUAUUUAUGGAAAACCAGGGGCAAGAAUUGACGUGGAUAAGGAAAAAUAGAGGAGUUUGUGAUUUUUGUUGAACACCCAAAAGAAUACAUUUUCCUAAUAUAGAAAAGAAAAAAUAAUGACUAACUCUGUUUGAACUCCAACGAACAUAAUUUAAUGGAAGAAAAAAGAAAAUUAUUUAGACUUUAUCAAUAGGUUUUUAAUUUAUCUGCAAUGUAAAUAUGAUGUAACAUUGAUAUAGCCACUAAAAUAUUGACAUACAUUUCCACAAUUUUCUUUGCUAGGAAAUUAUUUUCAUUUUUUAUGCUUUAUCUGAAAUUGAAAAUAUAUCUUGUAGGGCUAAUUAUUGUUUAGGCACGAUUUAAAGUGAGAAAUGUUUCUAACCUAUUUGUUGCAGUACAUUAUAUUACUGUUAAAUCACAACUUUGAUAAUUUGAAAGACACAUAUUAUAUAAAUGUAGAAAAGGAGAAAAUUCUUUGCAGAUAAUUCCACAAUCCCUGAAAUAUUUAGGAAAUAAAAGAAUAAAACUGGGAUUAGGGUGGCUGAUUAAAAUUCAGAGGGCUACUGUUAGAUUGCUCCCAAAUCAAAAUAAUUUAACUAUACUUACCUUUAUCAGUGGUGGCAUAGUGGAUAGAGUGCUGGGUCCAGAGUCAGGAAGACCUGAAUUUAAACCCAGAUUCAGGCACAUAUUUGCUAAUGUGACCCUGAAUAUAUCACUUAAACCUGUUUAACCUGUUUCCUCAUCAGUAAAAGUAGCUGGAGAAGGAAAUGGCAGACCACUUCAAUAUUUUUGCCCAGGAAAACCCCAGUUAGAAUCAUGAAGAGUAGGACAGAGCUGGUACUACUAAACUUGUAGCAAUUGGGGAGCAAAAGCAACCUCAUUCAAGAAAUGCUUUUUACAUUACAGUAUACAUUUGCUUAUAUAAAUGGCCCACUCUGCCCUGCAAUUUAAGAAAUGUUUUCUGUGUUCGAUAUCAUUUCAAAAGCAAACUUCCUUGGAAGAUUCCCUUCCCUACCAAAAAAGAAAUAAACAUUUUAUCGACAGAUAAAAUAUGUGUAAAUCUUUUUCUUUGUAUGACACAUGUAUAUUUUACCAGUCAUAGUCUAAAGGAGCAUCCCAUAAGCAAAAUCACAGCCAAUAAAAAGGCAGAAAAAAGUUUCAAAGUGAAAACCUAGAAGUAGGGAACUAAGAGAGCUCAUCUUCUCACCAAUUAAAAUUCAAAAAAGGCCAAAGAAAAAAUUGAAACGUGGGAAUAGAGACAGAACCACAGAAGAAAACCUAAAAGGACAAUACUAGACUCAUUAGGUUGUGUUAUUUCCAUUUAUGUAUGUUUCCUCCUUUGCUUCAAUGUAUGACUAAAGCCUUGGAAAACCUGAAAAAUUGUGCAUUAGAAGGCAAAAGGCUUGUCUCAACCUAACUACAAUUGGUCAGCAGAACAUAUAUCCUUGUAGGGAUCACUAACGAAAAAUGGAACCUCUGUGUGUGUGUGUGUGUGUGUGUGUGUGUGUGUGUGUGUGUGUGUGUGUAAAUUACUAGAUUAUUGACACCCCAGAACAACACCCCAUUACUAUUUCCCCAAUAUCUACAAGCAGAGUAAAAUAGAAAGAAAGGUGACUUGGAAUUAGGACCUAAAUUUCUUUAUUAUCCUUCUGUAGACAGUGUAGUAACAAUUUCUCUGGGUCUAUGUCUCCUCAUCUCUCAAAUGAGGGUGCUAGUUUAGGUGAUCUCAAAGAUCCCUUCCAUCUUGAACCUAGGAACUUGGUCUUUUAUUCAUUUCAGUAUUGAAUAUUACCAAUGAAAUUAAGAGAAUAUGCUUUGAGAUUCUAGUGGUAUUACCAUGCUUCCCUUUCAGAAAACUCCAUAUUCAAAAAUUAAUUUACAUAUGUGCUAUAUGAAAGCAUGUUUAUUUUUACCACUGAAAAAUUAUCAAUAAGAAUUCUUUUUUCCCUUUGGUUUUUUAUUUUAUU